rnacentral:tRNA from 1 species
GGCGUCUUAGCGGAGUGGUUAACGCGCUGGCCUGCUAGUCGUUCGAGAGAGCGAAAGUUAGCCAGUUCCUUCGGGAGCGUGUGUUCGAAUCACACAGGUGUCG